rnacentral:rRNA from 1 species
AACAGGAUUAGAUACCCUGGUAGUCCACGCUGUAAACGAUGUCGAUUUGGAGGUUGUGCCCUUGAGGCGUGGCUUCCGGAGCUAACGCGUUAAAUUGACCGCCUGGGGAGUACGGCCGCAAGGUUAAAACUCAAAUGAAUUGACGGGGGCCCGCACAAGCGGUGGAGCAUGUGGUUUAAUUCGAUGCAACGCGAAGAACCUUACCUACUCUUGACAUCCAGAGAACUUAGCAGGGAUGCUUUGGUGCCUUCGGGAACUCUGAGACAGGUGCUGCAUGGCUGUCGUCAGCUCGUGUUGUGAAAUGUUGGGUUAAGUCCCGCAACGAGCGCAACCCUUAUCCUUUGUUGCCAGCGGUUCGGCCGGGAACUCAAAGGAGACUGCCAGUGAUAAACUGGAGGAAGGUGGGGAUGACGUCAAGUCAUCAUGGCCCUUACGAGUAGGGCUACACACGUGCUACAAUGGCGUAUACAAAGAGAAGCGACCUCGCGAGAGCAAGCGGACCUCAUAAAGUACGUCGUAGUCCGGAUUGGAGUCUGCAACUCGACUCCAUGAAGUCGGAAUCGCUAGUAAUCGUAGAUCAGAAUGCUACGGUGAAUACGUUCCCGGGCCUUGUACACACCGCCCGUCACACCAUGGGAGUGGGUUGCAAAAGAAGUAGGUAGCUUAACCUUCGGGAGGGCGCUUACCACUUUGUGAUUCAUGACUGGGGUGAAGUCGUAACAAGGUA